ensembl:lncRNA
AAUGAACGGAAGAAAUGACUCUCCCUUUCUAUGAGACGUCCAUGAGGGUCACGUUGCCCAGUAACUGCCACCUUCAAAAGCAGGAAGGGGUGGCACUUUAGCAGAGAGCUCAGAGUGGGCCUUGCUUGUCUGGAACUCACUCUCCCCACUGACCCCGGAUAGGUCACCUGAGAAUAAGCAGUCACUCUGCCCCUGUCGGAAAGCUUGGGGAAACAUCCAGGCAAAGAAAGUGAGGAACUGAGUGACCAGAUCCCAAAGCCAAGGUCACCUAACGCUGAGGUCACUGUUUUUCUCAAGGGCUCUUCCUCUACCUACAAGGACAGGCUGAAGCAAUUUCAAAUCUGCUCAGCAAAGAUAAGACUGUGAACUGCAGCUCAGAGGACCUCGGAGCCUGCUGGACCACAAACGCGCCAUGUGACCAAAAGCAGGUUAAACUUCCCUCGGCCAACCUGGGUUACCUCAAUGCCAAAGUCGGUGGUUUGAGCCAAAUAACCUCUGGGACCUUCUGGAGUUAUUUUAUGGGCCUGAAUCAAACCAGCAGUACCCUUUAUGGUUCAGAAGAGGCCCGAGGUUUCACUGGAGCACCACGUCCCUCAGUUAGGUUCUGUCUCUACACACACACACACCCACACACACCCACACACACACCUCUUGCUCUCUGGCCACAGCCCUCCGCCUCAACGCCUUCCUAACUGCCACGCUGACUGAGGAGCACAGAAGAGACCCUCACCACAGAAAGCAGCCCACCCUGGGAGGGCCAGGCUCAUGGAGUCCCUCUGGGACACCGUUUAUCCUCCAUCUGUCAUCAAGAAGUGAAGCGAGGCAGAGGUGUAGCUCCAUGGUGGAACAUUUGGCAAUCAAGCUUGAGGCCUUGGGUUUGAUCCCCAGCACCACAAAAAAAGAAAAACAAGAAGAGAAGCCAUUUGUUGUACAUCCCCUCCUCCUACUCUUCUGUUCUCAAAAUGUCCUGAUGGAAGAUGGUGGGGUCUUCCUCAAGCAAGAUCACUGCAGGUCAAAUUCCCAGCAGCGCUCCAGCAUCCCCACCCUCCCUCACCCUCCAACUCGGGAGCAGUUGAACAGGACAGCAACCAAGAGGGAUCUUUUACCGCCCUUAAGUUCUGACCUAACAGUCUCUUUUUAAAAAUUCCUUCACGGGCUUCUUGAGGACCCAGGACUGAGCUAUAUUCCAUGGAAAGAACUUUCCAAGGAAAGAAAUAAAGCAGUUUUUCUGAGACUUUUCUCACUUUGGGUAGCUGAGAGUGAGGAAGAGGCUCCUUUUGUGGAAGGAGAAGUCCAGAGCGUGGAGGUAGCCCCUCGUGGUGGCAGCAUCAUCUCUUCUUUCUGCGCUCCCCUCACAACAGUUACUAAUUAGGGUUCUUAUUAAGCAGUAUCUUCAAACUUAUUUAUGUGAUGUCACACGAGGAAGCAGUGCUGUCAAUGGGACAACCUUCCAUGAGCACUGAACUCAAUAUAAAUAAGAGCCAAAUAAAUGCCACAUUGUCUCCUUGAGGAAUCUUCUCUAGUCCUGAAAGGAAGCACUGAAAGAUGAUCAGAUAACAGCAGAGUCUGCAGAUGAGGGGCAGAACAGCUCCUUUUUCCUCUUCUUCUCUGAAGUAUUGGAUCAGGGGAUUCAGCUUGUUGCCAGGCAUCACUUCCAUGCGCUCUGAGAAGUGGGCACACAAAAUGAAGGUGGGCCGCCCAAGGCCGAAGGGCCAAGUCAUUACCCUUCACUUCACAAUUUU